UACAGAGGUCCCAAGCGUUGUUCGGAUUCACUGGGCGUAAAGGGUGCGUAGGUGGUAGAUCAAGUCGGGUGUGAAAUCUCCGGGCUCAACCCGGAGCGUGCGCCCGAAACUGGUCUGCUAGAGGGUGGGAGGGGAGACUGGAAUUCUCGGUGUAGCAGUGAAAUGCGUAGAUAUCGAGAGGAACACCGGUGGCGAAGGCGAGUCUCUGGACCACUCCUGACACUGAGGCACGAAAGCCGGGGGAGCAAAC
rnacentral:rRNA from 1 species